rnacentral:lncRNA from 1 species
UUCUGGUUGCUAUUGUUGUGUUUUGCUUUUUGGGCCGCAACUGUUGAUUGGCCAUUUUUGCUUGUUUAUAAGUUAGCUUUGUGUUGAGCAAAAAUUGUACACAGUAUGUAAACAAAUAAUUCACUCGACACAAUUUCACCCUCGUUCGUUUUUCGAAGAGGGUUUUAUUAAUUUGAGUUCGAACUAUUUUAGGCUACGCGCCUAUUAAUUACAACCCUUCUUUUAGGAAGGGAAUACCCUUUGAUUCUAAUAUGAAUAAAUCUUAACUUGGGGAUUUGAGUGUUUAUUUGAUUUUGUGACUGUAUCUAGGUAGAGCCCUAGAUUGCCUACUGUGGAUGCAAAUUUUCUCCUCUUCAAUCUUUGACGAUUUUGCACCUACAAAAUAACUAGCACCUUAGGUUAAGGCCAAGAGCCUCAUGCGCCCACGAUGAAUGGAGGGGGCUUUGGCCGAAGAACCUCCGAUGCCAAAGUUAGAAUUUUAGAGAGAAAUAGUGUUUAGAAUAUUUGGGAUUUUUUGUAAGAGAAUUGGAACUAGUGUUUUGUGAAAAUGGGAACCAAUUUAUAGGAGAGGAAAGGGUGGCCGGCCUUUAAGCCUAGGGUGAUUUAUUUUGGGAGGUUAUGGAGAUAAUGGGCUAGUUAUUUUGGGGAGUUAUGGAAAUAAUUGGCUAGUUAAUUAGCAAAUAGUAAUAACCUAAUUAACUAGCUAUUUGAAUGUCAUAAAAAGGGGGAGAAAAUGGUAGCAACAAACAGAAAAUAAAGGGCAUGGCCGGCCCUAGUGGGUUUUUGGUUAUAAUUUGGAGGUUUAAUUGAUAAUUAAGGGAUUGAUUAGGUAAUUAAUCCCUUAAUUAGUCAAUUUUAGGAAAUAUGAAAGGAAAAUACUAUUUAGCUAAUUUAUUAGCUAAAUAAUGGAAUAUAAAGCAUAUAGAAUAAAUUAGAUUUUUGGGAAUUACCUUAUAGAAAGGAUUUGAUGAAAUAGGCUUUAAAUUGUUACCUAUUUUGGGCACUUUUGAUUUGGUUGAAAGAUGAUUGCCCGUUGCUCGCGCGUAGGAAUCCUGAUAUGCCUCGUGGGUAUUUUUGUCAUCUUUUGUCCAAAAGUCCACGUGUCGCCUAGUGAAUAUUUUUGGCUCCACACCUACGUACCCUCGUUGAGGGAUCAAGUCACUCGUAGUUCUUUAUAUAUUUGUUGGGGUUUGAUGCCUUGUGUAGUUUCAGCUCAUGCAGGCAAUGAGCAUUUGAUGCCUU